GAUGAACGCUAGCGGGAGGCUUAACACAUGCAAGUCGAGGGGCAGCACGAGGUAGCAAUACUUUGGUGGCGACCGGCGCACGGGUGAGUAACACGUAUGCAACCUACCCUGUACUGGGGGAUAACCCGGAGAAAUUCGGACUAAUAUCCCAUGAUGAUAUUGAAAGGCAUCUUUUGAUAUUUAAAGCUCAGGCGGUACGGGAUGGGCAUGCGCAACAUUAGCUAGUUGGCAGGGUAAUGGCCUACCAAGGCUACGAUGUUUAGGGGACCUGAGAGGGUGAUCCCCCACACUGGUACUGAGACACGGACCAGACUCCUACGGGUGGCUG
rnacentral:rRNA from 1 species